GAUCUGCACAGGCUCCUUCAUAGUUCGGUAGAGUUAUUAGAGAUUCAGAUUCAGACUGACGGACCGGUCUGCGAGCUGGACGCAUGGCUCUUAAUGUGCCGGUAAUGAUGGUAAAUGAUGGUUGUAGCUGGUUGUCAUCUACGGUCCACUACGAUCACCGAAGGGGGGCGUUUGUUUUUUGACAACAUUUUAUCUCAUAAUUUUAUCCCCUUACAUUAGUGCAGAAAUGGGCUUCUAUAGUUGUGUGAAUGCAUCACUCUAUAUAUUUUUUUAAUUCCGAUUAUUAACUUUUCUGAAUCGAGACCGAAUCGUUCUAGAGAGAAUCGAGAGAAAUCGAAAAAAUCGGAGGCCCAACUGGUGAAAUGCUGCGUGCUAACCCUCCGAGCGGCGAGUCACAGGGCGUGUUUGUUUUCAUGGGUGACGGCAAUUGUCCGUCCGAACCUCUGGAAUGCCGCAAGUCCACAAUCGAUGCGCGGUCAUCAAACAUUAACCAGCGAGUCAAUACAAGAAACUUCAAAGAUACUUCAGCCCCAUAAAGAAGAGACUGGAGGUGUUUCUCUCACCAUUGAAUUAACUGUUUGUCCGAUGCUUGACAUAUUUGCCAAAUAAUAUAAAUAACGUUCCUGGAGAAGUGAUUCGCAUCGGGACGAAUGGCCUCAUGCCGACGCUCAGAAGACGAUCACAGCAGCAGAAAGUAAAGAAUCAAAAGCUCAAUACGGACCGUGAGGUUAUUUUCAUGGUUGCUUAUUAUUUAUUCAGAGAAAGGGCCACCAGCUGAAUGUGAGGAGAGGAAGACGGCGCUGGAUUAUGGGAUGCCGUUUUAGUCUAAAUUAAAUAAAUGAAUAAAUACGUAAAUACAUGAAAUAUGCAUUUGAAAUACAUCAGGAAAUAAAUAAACGAGGCAAUAAAUACAUAAAUAUUAAAUACAUUUAAUUAUUUCAUGGUACUUUUAUUUCACAAUGCCACUUUUCAUUUCAUGAGUCUUUUAUUUCAUAAUGUUACUUUUCAUUUCCAGAGUCUUUUAUUUCAUAAUGC
ensembl:lncRNA